GGAGGCAGAGGCAGGAGGA
rnacentral:miRNA from 1 species